rnacentral:rRNA from 1 species
GACGUAGGGCGCAAGCGUUGUCCGGAAUUACUGGGCGUAAAGAGCUCGUAGGUGGUUUGUCGCGUUGUUCGUGAAAACUCACAGCUUAACUGUGGGCGUGCGGGCGAUACGGGCAGACUGGAGUACUGCAGGGGAGACUGGAAUUCCUGGUGUAGCGGUGGAAUGCGCAGAUAUCAGGAGGAACACCGGUGGCGAAGGCGGGUCUCUGGGCAGUAACUGACGCUGAGGAGCGAAAGCGUGGGGAGCGAACAGG